GUCGGUGAUGAAAACCUGGAAUAGGAAGUGCCGUCAGAUGUGACAACUGACGAUUUUUUUCAAAUCCAUUUCUCUGAGU
rnacentral:snoRNA from 1 species